rnacentral:rRNA from 1 species
GAUUAGUUCUUUCUUAUAAUAUUCUAGCAAAGCCAAGUAAAUCUAAUUUUUAAGAAUUAUUCAAUAAAGGUACAGCUUUAUUGAAAAAGGAAACAACCUAAACCUUAGGAUAAUGAAUAUUUUUAAAUAGGUAAAAGGCCAAGUUGGCCUAAAAGCAGCCAUCUUUAAAGAUAGCGUCAAAGCUUCACCUUAAACACACCUUAAAUCUCAUUAUUUUUUCAUAAUCCAACAAUUCUACUAAGCCAUUCUAUACUUUUAUAGAAAAGUUUAUGUUAGGACUAGUAACACAGAAUAAUUUCUCUUACAUGUAAGUUUAAAUCAACCCGAAUACCUCCUUGAUAAUUACUCAAAUUUGAACCUUAAGUAGUACCUAUUAAUUACAAAAACCCUACUUAACUUAUUGUUAAUCAAACAUAUGGAUAUGAAAGAAAGAUUAAAAAAUUAAGAAGGAACUCGGCAAACACAAGUCCCGCCUGUUUACCAAAAACAUCGCCUUUUGAAAAGUAUAAAAGGUAACGCCUGCCCACUGACAGUAUGUUUAACGGCCGCGGUAUUCUGACCGUGCGAAGGUAGCGUAAUCACUUGUCUUUUAAAUGAAGACUCGUAUGAAAGGCAUCACGAGAACUUAGCUGUCUCCUUAAUUCAAUCAGUGAAACUGAUACCCCUGUAAAAAAGCAGGGAUGAUUACAUAAGACGAGAAGACCCUGUGGAGCUUAAAACAUAAGCUACUUCUAUACUCUACUAACUUAUAGUACUAAAAUACAAACCUAGCCUAAGUUUUCUGUUGGGGCGGCUGUGGAGAAAAACUUAUCCUCCAUGAAGAAAAAACUUUGAUCUACCGCUCUUAGUAUUAGCAAGCCUAACUUAAAUUGAUCCAAUUUUUGAUCAACGGACCAAGUUACCCCAGGGAUAACAGCGCAAUCCAUUUCAAGAGUCCCUAUCGACAAAUGGGUUUACGACCUCGAUGUUGGAUUAGGACAUCCUAGUGGUGUAGCCGCUACUAAUGGGUUCGUUUGUUCAACGAUAAAGUCUA